AUUGAACGCUGGCGGCAGGCCUAACACAUGCAAGUCGAACGGUAGCACAGGGAGCUUGCUCUCGGGUGACGAGUGGCGGACGGGUGAGUAAUGUCUGGGAAACUGCCCGAUGGAGGGGGAUAACUACUGGAAACGGUAGCUAAUACCGCAUAACGUCGCAAGACCAAAGUGGGGGACCUUCGGGCCUCACACCAUCGGAUGUGCCCAGAUGGGAUUAGCUAGUAGGUGGGGUAAUGGCUCACCUAGGCGACGAUCCCUAGCUGGUCUGAGAGGAUGACCGGCCAAACUGAAACUGAAACACGGUCCAGACUCCUACGGGAGGCAGCAGUCGGGAAUAUUGCACAAUGGGCGACAGCCGGAUGCAGACAUGCCGCGUGUAUGAAGAAGGCCUUCGGGUUGUAAAGUACUUUCAGCGGGGAGGAAGGCGGUGGAGUUAAUAACUUCACCGAUUGACGUUACCCGCAGAAGAAGCACCGGCUAACUCCGUGCCAGCCGCCGCGGUAA
rnacentral:rRNA from 1 species